GGCACUAUAGUGUAGUGGUCUAUCACUCGGGAUUUUGACACUGUCAUCUUCGUCAGCAAUAAUUUCCCGGAACCCAGGUUCGAACCCUGGUAGUGCCU